rnacentral:rRNA from 1 species
AUUGAACGCUGGCGGCGUGCCUAAUACAUGCAAGUCGAACGAGUGGCGGACGGGUGAGUAACACGUGGGAACCUACCCAUCAGAGGGGGAUAACUACUGGAAACGGUGGCUAAUACCGCAUACUAUCGGAUGAAACCGUAGGGGAUUAGUUAGUAGGGGGGGUAAAGGCUCACCUAGGCGACGAUCUCUAGCCGGUCUGAGAGGAUGAUCAGCCACACUUGGACGGAGACACGGCCCAGACUCCUACGGGAGGCAGCAGUGGGGAAUAUUGCACAAUGGGCGCAAGCCUGAUGCAGCAAUGCCGCGUGUAUGAAGAAGGCCUUAGGGUUGUAAAGUACUUUCAGCGGGGAGGCGUUACCCGCAGAAGAAGCACCGGCUAACUCCGUGCCAGCAGCCGCGGUAAUUC